AUAAUUUUAUUAGUAAUUAAUGUAAAACGAAGAUCGGGCAAUCCAAUUGUAGCUCUCGGCGAGGCUCCUCGGCAGGCACACGGUGGAAAAACCGACAAAUUAUCCAAAUUACCAUCAUUAGUACCAAGGCUUGUCACAUGUUAACAGUGGAUAAUCCGGAGAAGUUCCAUGCAAUGCUUUACAACUGGACGUCUCCGACGGUAGUGCUAACACAUUCGUCCACAAGUUCAUGUACUCAAAGAUGCUGCUCGAAGUUCUUCCAAGUCGCACCUCUCUGCCUCUCAGGACAAUUUCAAAGAGGUCCGAACACGUUCGGCGAUAAGUUUUACGAGACUUCGUUGUACUCGUCUACUUCGGAAUGGAACAACGAAGCCCUACGUCUGAUGACAUACAUAGAAUCUUGGCUGAAUUGGUGAGAGAGGAAGCAGAGGGGAAAGGCCAUGAGGAAUCCCUAGAUGAUGACGUUUCCGGCGACCCAGAUUAUGAAUAAGAAGGGUUUGAUGAUGAUAGUGUUGUCAGCCUCAAAACGAAUAUGAAAUGGAUACAGACUGAUCAGCAUUUUUCAUCUGACAGAAAUG